CACGGGUGCGUAACGCGUGGGAAUCUGCCCUUGGGUUCGGAAUAACAGUUAGAAAUGACUGCUAAUACCGGAUGAUGACGUAAGUCCAAAGAUUUAUCGCCCAAGGAUGAGCCCGCGUAGGAUUAGCUAGUUGGUGAGGUAAAAGCUCACCAAGGCGACGAUCCUUAGCUGGUCUGAGAGGAUGAUCAGCCACACUGGGACUGAGACACGGCCCAGACUCCUACGGGAGGCAGCAGUGGGGAAUAUUGGACAAUGGGCGAAAGCCUGAUCCAGCAAUGCCGCGUGAGUGAUGAAGGCCUUAGGGUUGUAAAGCUCUUUUACCCGGGAUGAUAAUGACAGUACCGGGAGAAUAAGCCCCGGCUAACUCCGUGCCAGCAGCCGCGGUAAUACGGAGGGGGCUAGCGUUAUUCGGAAUUACUGGGCGUAAAGCGCACGUAGGCGGCUUUGUAAGUUAGAGGUGAAAGCCUGGAGCUCAACUCCAGAAUUGCCUUUAAGACUGCAUCGCUUGAAUCCAGGAGAGGUGAGUGGAAUUCCGAGUGUAGAGGUGAAAUUCGUAGAUAUUCGGAAGA
rnacentral:rRNA from 1 species